rnacentral:rRNA from 1 species
GACGAACGCUGGCGGCGUGCCUAACACAUGCAAGUCGAGCGGAUGAAGGUAGCUUGCUACCUGAUUCAGCGGCGGACGGGUGAGUAAUGCCUAGGAAUCUGCCUGGUAGUGGGGGACGACGUUUCGAAAGGAACGCUAAUACCGCAUACGUCCUACGGGAGAAAGUGGGGGAUCUUCGGACCUCACGCUAUCAGAUGAGCCUAGGUACGAUUAGCUAGUUGGUGAGGUAAAGGCUCACCAUAGCGACGAUCGUUAACUGGUCUGAGAGGAUGAUCAGUCACACUGGAACUGAGACACGGUCCAGACUCCUACGGGAGGCAGCAGUGGGGAAUAUUGGACAAUGGGCGAAAGCCUGAUCCAGCCAUGCCGCGUGUGUGAAGAAGGUCUUCGGAUUGUAAAGCACUUUAAGUUGGGAGGAAGGGCAGUAAGUUAAUACCUUGCUGUUUUGACGUUACCGACAGAAUAAGCACCGGCUAACUUCGUGCCAGCAGCCGCGGUAAUAC